rnacentral:rRNA from 1 species
GAUGAACGCUGGCGGCGUGCCUAACACAUGCAAGUCGAGCGAAGCGCUUAAAUUAGAUUUCUUCGGAAUGACGAUUUUUGUGACUGAGCGGCGGACGGGUGAGUAACGCGUGGGUAACCUGCCUCAUACAGGGGGAUAACAGUUAGAAAUGACUGCUAAUACCGCAUAAGACCCCAGCUUCGCAUGAAGCGGUGGUAAAAACUCCGGUGGUAUGAGAUGGACCCGCGUCUGAUUAGCUAGUUGGUAAGGUAACGGCUUACCAAGGCGACGAUCAGUAGCCGAGCUGAGAGGGUGACCGGCCACAUUGGGACUGAGACACGGCCCAGAAUCCUACGGGAGGCAGCAGUGGGGAAUAUUGCACAAUGGGGGAAACCCUGAUGCAGCGACGCCGCGUGAAGGAUGAAGUAUUUCGGUAUGUAAACUUCUAUAAGCAGGGAAGAAAGUGACGGUACCUGACUAAGAAGCCCCGGCUAACUACGUG